rnacentral:rRNA from 1 species
AUGAACGCUGGCGGCGUGCUUAACACAUGCAAGUCGAACGAAGCACUUUAUUUGAUUUCCUUCGGGACUGAUUAUUUUGUGACUGAGUGGCGGACGGGUGAGUAACGCGUGGGUAACCUGCCUUGUACAGGGGGAUAACAGUUGGAAACGGCUGCUAAUACCGCAUAAGCGCACAGUAUCGCAUGAUGCAGUGUGAAAAACUCCGGUGGUAUAAGAUGGACCCGCGUUGGAUUAGCUAGUUGGUGAGGUAACGGCCCACCAAGGCGACGAUCCAUAGCCGACCUGAGAGGGUGACCGGCCACAUUGGGACUGAGACACGGCCCAAACUCCUACGGGAGGCAGCAGUGGGGAAUAUUGCACAAUGGGCGAAAGCCUGAUGCAGCGACGCCGCGUGAGCGAAGAAGUAUUUCGGUAUGUAAAGCUCUAUCAGCAGGGAAGAUAAUGACGGUACCUGACUAAGAAGCACCGGCUAAAUACGUGCCAGCAGCCGCGGUAAUACGUAUGGUGCAAGCGUUAUCCGGAUUUACUGGGUGUAAAGGGAGCGCAGGCGGUGCGGCAAGUCUGAUGUGAAAGCCCGGGGCUCAACCCCGGUACUGCAUUGGAAACUGUCGUACUAGAGUGUCGGAGGGGUAAGCGGAAUUCCUAGUGUAGCGGUGAAAUGCGUAGAUAUUAGGAGGAACACCAGUGGCGAAGGCGGCUUACUGGACGAUAACUGACGCUGAGGCUCGAAAGCGUGGGGAGCAAACAGGAUUAGAUACCCUGGUAGUCCACGCCGUAAACGAUGAGUGCUAGGUGUUAGGCCCUUUCCGGGGCUUAGUGCCGGAGCUAACGCAAUAAGCACUCCGCCUGGGGAGUACGACCGCAAGGUUGAAACUCAAAGGAAUUGACGGGGGCCCGCACAAGCGGUGGAGCAUGUGGUUUAAUUCGAAGCAACGCGAAGAACCUUACCAAGUCUUGACAUCCUUCUGACCGGUACUUAACCGUACCUUCUCUUCGGAGCAGGAGUGACAGGUGGUGCAUGGUUGUCGUCAGCUCGUGUCGUGAGAUGUUGGGUUAAGUCCCGCAACGAGCGCAACCCUUAUCUUUAGUAGCCAGCGGUUCGGCCGGGCACUCUAGAGAGACUGCCAGGGAUAACCUGGAGGAAGGCGGGGAUGACGUCAAAUCAUCAUGCCCCUUAUGACUUGGGCUACACACGUGCUACAAUGGGAAGUACAACGAGUCGCUAGACCGCGAGGUCAUGCAAAUCUCUUAAAGCUUCUCUCAGUUCGGAUUGCAGGCUGCAACUCGCCUGCAUGAAGCCGGAAUCGCUAGUAAUCGCGGAUCAGCAUGCCGCGGUGAAUACGUUCCCGGGCCUUGUACACACCGCCCGUCACACCAUGGGAGUGGGUUGCAAAAGAAGUAGGUAGCUUAACCUUCGGGAGGGCGCUUACCACUUUGUGAUUCAUGACUGGGGUG